rnacentral:rRNA from 1 species
GACGAACGCUGGCGGCGUGCUUAACACAUGCAAGUCGAACGGAAAGGCCCUGCUUGCAGGGUACUCGAGUGGCGAACGGGUGAGUAACACGGGGGUGCUCUGCCCUGCACUUCGGGAUAAGCCUGGGAAACUGGGUCUAAUACCGGAUAGGAGCCAUUUUUAGUGUGAUGGUUGGAAAGUUUUUUCGGUGUAGGAUGAGCUCGCGGCCUAUCAGCUUGUUGGUGGGGUAAUGGCCUACCAAGGCGGCGACGGGUAGCCGGCCUGAGAGGGUGGACGGCCACACUGGGACCGAGAGACGGCCCAGACUCCGACGGGAGGCAGAAGGGGGGAAUAUUGAACAAUGGGCGCAAGCCUGAUGCAGCGACGCCGCGUGUGGGAUGACGGCCUUCGGGUUGUAAACUCCUUGCGCUAGGGACGAAGCUUUUUGUGACGGUACCUAGAUAAGAAGCACCGGCUAACUACGUG